UACGUAGGGUGCGAGCGUUAAUCGGAAUUACUGGGCGUAAAGCGUGCGCAGGCGGUUUUGUAAGCCAGAUGUGAAAUCCCCGGGCUUAACCUGGGAAUGGCAUUUGGGACUGCAAGGCUUGAGUGCGGCAGAGGAGACUGGAAUUCCUGGUGUAGCAGUGAAAUGCGUAGAUAUUACAAGGAACACCAAUGGCGAAAGGCAGCUUGCUGGGCUACUCCUGACACUGAGGUACGAGAGCGUGGGGAGCGAACAGG
rnacentral:rRNA from 1 species